UGAAGAAGGUACUACUGCAUGAUGACCUGUGCCAACUACUAGAACGCCUCCGAAACAGUGGACAAAAACUCUAAAUCAUUUUUUGCUAUUGUAGGGGAACUGUUGAGUCAUGGCCUGAACCACUGAUUGAGCACCUGGGGAAGGGACCCUGUCAGCCCUGGGAGCACAGGUGAAGGCAAUUCAGCUGUGUGACCUGAAGGGGUGGGACCCUGGCUGCACCUCUCUUAGACUCCAUUUAAGGGCUGACUGCCACUGAGGAAGGAUCUUUUCCUGGAUUUCUCCCUUGUGAAGUUUUCCCUGCAAGCCUAGAUCUUCAGACAUGGAUUUCCACAUCUGAGCCCAGGAUUUCUCAGCAGAGGACUCCUGAGGUUCUUCCCAGCAGAAAUGCAAGCCUUUUGGUGCAUGUUGAAAGGUCAUUUCUUUGCACGUCCAGCACUUUUCAAUCCUGUCUCAACCAAAUUUGUAUUUAUGUCCUGGGCUUUGCUGUCUGAAGCUCCAAGGCCGCCAGCAAUGGGAAGUUCUUUGACCCAUGGAACAGCCAAAGGACACCUGCAUUUUACUUGUGAACGGAUUAUGUGUGGAACUCCUCCUGUGGUGGUACCAAAGCAAUGCAAUGUCUUCAUAGCACCAGGAGUGCUCUCCCAGCCUGAAGGUGUGUCAGUUCCAAGCCAGCCUUUCACCAAAACACCCAGACGUUGGCAGCAUCAAACUCUGCUCUGAGUUGCAACCACACAGCAUGGCGUGACCUGCUUGAGCCGCACAGGUCUGCUGCUAAGUGGAGAAGGAUCCCAGUGACCACACUGGGACUACAGCAGCAGGAGAGGUUGUAUCUUUGGAGAGGCUCCACCAGGCUGCACUUACCAGGGUUUCAAAGAAGCGGGCGAGCUGUUUAUCAGCAGGGACCUAGCCUACUGUUCCGUCCCACUGGAUUUCAAGCUCUUCUUGCCAGGCUGUCCUGGUGCUGGUUCAAACACAUGUCAUCACAUGCAACAUGGACACAAUACCCUCAUUCCUACGGGCUCCAGGACCCAGCAGAAGAAAGCGCAG
ensembl:lncRNA